AGGACAAACGCUGGCGGCGUACUUAAGACAUGCAAGUCGAACGGGCGCUUCACCUUCGGGCGGGUGUGCUAGUGGCGGACGGGUGAGUAACGCGUAGGAACCUGUCAUCAAGAGGGGGAUAACGCUGGGAAACCGGCGCUAAUACCGCAUGUGGUCAUGAAAAUGAAGAAAGCAGCAAUGCGCUUGAUGAGGGGCCUGCGUCCGAUUAGCUUGUUGGUGGGGUAAAGGCCUACCAAGGCAUCGAUCGGUAGCUGGUCUGAGAGGAUGGUCAGCCACACUGGGACUGAGACACGGCCCAGACUCCUACGGGAGGCAGCAGUUAGGAAAUUUUCCCAAUGGGCGCAAGCCUGAGGGAGUAACGCCGCGUGGAGGAUGACGGCUUUCGGGUUGUAAACUCCUUUUCUGUGGGAAGAGUAGAAGACGGUACCGCAGGAAUAAGCCUCGGCUAACUACGCGCCAGCAGCCGC
rnacentral:rRNA from 1 species